rnacentral:rRNA from 1 species
UACGUAGGGUGCAAGCGUUAAUCGGAAUUACUGGGCGUAAAGCGUGCGCAGGCGGCUUUGCAAGACAGACGUGAAAUCCCCGGGCUUAACCUGGGAACUGCAUUUGUGACUGCAAGGCUAGAGUACGGUAGAGGGGGAUGGAAUUCCGCGUGUAGCAGUGAAAUGCGUAGAUAUGCGGAGGAACACCGAUGGCGAAGGCAAUCCCCUGGACCUGUACUGACGCUCAUGCACGAAAGCGUGGGGAGCGAACAGG